rnacentral:rRNA from 1 species
GACGAACGCUGGCGGCGUGCUUAACACAUGCAAGUCGAACGAGACGAUUGGAAGUUUGCUUUUAAAAGUCGAGUGGCAAACGGGUGAGUAACGCGUAGACAACCUGCCUUUGAGAUGGGGACAACAGUUCGAAAGGACUGCUAAUACCGAAUGUUGUAUAUUUUCCACAUGGAAGAUAUAUUAAAGAUGGCCUCUAUUUAUAAGCUAUCGCUCAAAGAUGGGUCUGCGUCUGAUUAGCUGGUUGGUGGGGUAACGGCCUACCAAGGCGCCGAUCAGUAGCGGGUCUGAGAGGAUGAACGGCCACAUUGGGACUGAGACACGGCCCAGACUCCUACGGGAGGCAGCAGUGGGGAAUCUUCCACAAUGGACGAAAGUCUGAUGGAGCAACGCCGCGUGAGUGAAGAAGGGUUUCGGCUCGUAAAGCUCUGUUGUCGGGGACGAAUGUGCAGUAUUUGAAUAAAGUACUGUAAUGACGGUACCUGACGAGGAAGCCACGGCUAACUACGUGCCAGCCGCCGCAGUAA